UACGGAGGAUCCGAGCGUUAUCCGGAUUUAUUGGGUUUAAAGGGUGCGCAGGCGGGAGAUUAAGUCGGCGGUGAAAUUUUGCAGCUCAACUGUAAAAGUGCCUUCGAAACUGGUUUCCUUGAGUGUAGAUGAAGUAGGCGGAAUUUGUGGUGUAGCGGUGAAAUGCUUAGAUAUUACACAGAACACCAAUUGCGAAGGCAGCUUUCUGGCCCAUUACUGACGCUGAGGCACGAAAGCGUGGGGAUCGAACAGGAUUAGAUACCCCUGUAGUCCCU
rnacentral:rRNA from 1 species